AGAGUUUGAUCCUGGCUCAGGAUGAACGCUGGCGGCGUGCCUAAUACAUGCAAGUCGAGCGAAUGGAUUAAGAGCUUGCUCUUAUGAAGUUAGCGGCGGACGGGUGAGUAACACGUGGGUAACCUGCCCAUAAGACUGGGAUAACUCCGGGAAACCGGGGCUAAAUACCGGAUAACAUUUUGAAUCCGCAUGGUUCGAAAUUGAAAGGCGGCUUCGGCUGUCACUUAUGGAUUGGACCCGCGUCGCCAUUAGCUAGUUUGGUGGAGAGGUAACGGCAUCCACCAAGGCUAACGAUGGCGUAGGCCGACCUGAGAGGGUGUGAUCGGGCCACAACUGGGGCCAGCUGAGCGACACGGACCCCAGACUCCCCUACGGGAGGCAGCGGUAGGGAAUCCUUCCAGGCAAUGGCAGCCCGAAAAGUCUGGCCGGAGCAACCGCCGCGUGUGAGUGGAAUGAAAGGCUUUUCGGGUCGUCGUAACCUCCUGUUGUUAGGGAAGAGACAAGUGCUAGUUUGAAAUAAGCUGGCACCUUGACGGUACCUAACCAGAAAAGCCACCGGCUGACUAUCGUCGCAGCAGCCGCCGGUUAAUACCGUAAGGUGGCAAGGCGUUAUCCGGAAUUAUUGGGGCCGUAGAAGCGCCGCCGGAGGUGGGUUUCUUAAGUCUGAUUGUGAAAGCCCACGGCUCAACCGUGGAGGGUCAUUGGAAACCUGGGAGAGCUUGAGUGCAGAAGAGGAAAUGUGGAAUUUCCAUGUGUAGCGGUGAAAAAUGCGUAGAGAUAUGUGAGGGAACACCCGGUGGGGAAGGGCGACUUUUCCUGGUCUGUAUGCUGACACUGAGGCGCGAAAAGCGUGGGGAGGCAAACCCAGGAUUGGGAUAACCCUUGGUAGUCGGCAGCCAGGCCGUAAACGACUGAUGUGCUAAAGAUCAGUUACGCAGGGUUCUCCGCCCUGUCUAGUGCUGAGAGUUGUAACGGCAUUUAAAGCACUCCCGCCUGGGGCGUAGCGGCCGGCAAGGCCUGAACAAUCAAAAGGAAUCUGAUCGGGGGAAACCCGCCGCCAGCAAGGGCGGUGGAGCAUGUGGUUUAGAUUCCGAAGCCAAAACGCGAAGAACCUUACCAGCGUUCUUGCGAUCCUCUGAGCAACCCCUCAGAAGAUAGGCGCUUCUCGCUUCCGGGAAGCAGAGUGACAGGUUGGUGCAUGGUUCGUCGUCAGCUCGUGUCCGUGAGAAUGUUGCGGUUACCAGUCGCCGCAACGGCCGCAAACCCUUGAUCUUAGUUCUAGCGCAAUCCAUUAAGGUUGGGGCACAUCCUACAGGCUGACUGGCCGGUGACAAACCGGAGGAAGCGUGGGGAGUGACGUCAAGAUCAUGCAUGGCCCGCUUCUAUGACUCUGGGCUACACACGUGGGCUACAAUGGAGCGGUAGCAAUGAGCUUGCAAGACCGCGAGGUGGAAGGCUAAUCUCAAUAAAAACCGUUUUUCUCAGUUCGGCUUCGAUUGUAGGCUUGCAAACAUCGGCGCUACACUGAAGGCUGGAAUACGGCCUAGUAAUCGUCGCGGAUCAGCAUGCCGCGGUGAAUACGUUUCGGGCCGCUUGUACAAACACGCCCGUCACACCACGAGAGUUUGUAACCCCGAAGUCGGCUUGGUAAAGCCUUUUUGGCAGCCAGCCGCCUACACCACGACGGAACGUUUGUAACACCCGAAGUGCGUGGGGUAACACUUCUUUGGAGCCA
rnacentral:rRNA from 1 species